CAGCCGCCGCGGUAAUACGUAGGGUGCGAGCGUUAAUCGGAUUUACUGGGCGUAAAGCGUGCGCAGGCGGCCCGUUAAGACAGGUGUGAAAUCCCUGGGCUCAACCUAGGAAUUGCGCUUGUGACUGGCGGGCUCGAGUACGGUAGAGGGGGGUGGAAUUCCUGGUGUAGCAGUGAAAUGCGUAGAGAUCAGGAGGAACACCGAUGGCGAAGGCAGCCCCCUGGGCCUGUACUGACGCUCAUGCACGAAAGCGUGGGGAGCAAACAGGAUUAGAUACCCUGGUAGUCCACGCCCUAAACGAUGGGUACUAGCCGUUUGGUGCGCGAUAGCGCUGAGUGGCGAAGCUAACGCGAGAAGUACCCCGCCUGGGGAGUACGGCCGCAAGGUUGAAACUUAAGGAAUUGGCGGG
rnacentral:rRNA from 1 species